UGCCCUGCUGGCCACGGCACACCGUACCUGAGCCCGGGGCUGGCUCCCACGCACCGGGUACGUCUCGCGGCCGGGCCCGCCGCGGCCCCGUAGAGCGCCCUGGCGGUCGAGCGAGUGGGGCCGGGCGCCGCGCAGCCGGGCGCGCUGGUGCCACGACUGCAGCUCCUCCGACACGGCCGCCUUGGAGAGGCCGCGCCCGGCGCCCGGCGCGUAGUCCUUGAGCGAGGGCGUGCGCACGAUGCGGCUGUGCGACGGCACCAGGCGCUGGUAGCGCAGCGGGGCCAGAUCCUGCUCGUAGCAGAAAGCGCCCGGCAGCCGCGGGGCGCCCCGGGAACAGCAGGCAGCGCGGGGCAGCUCCACGGCCGGCGGCCGGCAGCAGGAGCCGGCAGGGCUGCCUCCACCGUCGCCGCCUCCGGGAGAGGCGGCGUGGGAGAUGCCGGAGCCGUCCGAAUUGCUGUCGUCGGAGCCGGAGCGGUACGCGGGGCCGGGCGGCGGGAAGCAGUAUGCCGGCACGGUGACGGUGUAGCAGGUGGGGCGGCGGCGGGGCAAAGCGCCGCGGCCCCGGGGCUCGGCGGGUUCCCAGCACCCGUCCGCCCUGGGCGAGAAGCCGCGCGGCGCCGGAUCAACCGCCUCGCCCCCGAAAAUCUGGGCAAAGCCCAUCGCCAAAGCCCCCGCCGGCAGCCCGCGCUCGUACCUCGGGGACGGGCACUGUCCUCGCCGGCCCGGCRGCUCCGGCGUGCUCGGGGCGCUGGAGCCCAGCCGCCGGCACAGCACCAGGCUCCGCACGGGCACCGAGUGGUAGGGGGGCAUCUCGCCGGGCCGGGGCGGCCGGGGCGCUGGUGGGCCCGCCGCGUCACCGCUGCGGGGGAACGGGUGAGCCGGGGAUGGCGGGAGACCAGGCAGAGCUGCCGCCGCGGUGGCACCCGGUUUCCCCCUACCUGGCGUCGGCUCCGGGCUUCCCGGCUUUCUCGUAGGGUUGGUCCAGGCUGGUCUCCUUCCAGGAGCGGGUGGGCGAGCGCGGGCGACCCUCGGUGGUGGCGGUGGCGGUGGUGGCGGUGGGUCGGUCCGGGGCCAGCGGAAUGGGCCGGGGCGGCGAGGUCUCCUCUGCGGGGCACGGGGAGGCAUGAGGGUGGCAGGGUGCCGGGGGGCAGCCCGUCCCCGCGGCCCCCUUACCCUCCUCCGGCAGCACGGCGUCCGACAGGGAGCUCUCGUCCGAGGCGCUCGGCUCUGCAGGAAUGACGGCGGACGGGGUGAGCGCGGUGCCCGCCGGCGAGCUCGGCCCGCGCGCCCUGCCUGCCCCGACACGCGCUGCUGCCGCCGCCGCUGCCGCCACCGCGGCAAUACCNNNNNNNNNNNNNNNNNNNNNNNNNNNNNNNNNNNNNNNNNNNNNNN
rnacentral:lncRNA from 1 species